rnacentral:rRNA from 1 species
ACGAACGCUGGCGGCAUGCCUAACACAUGCACGUCGAACGAGACCUUCGGGUCUAGUGGCGCACGGGUGCGUAACGCGUGGGAACCUGCCCUUAGGUUCGGAAUAACUCCCCGAAAGGGGUGCUAAUACCGGAUAAUGUCUUCGGACCAAAGAUUUAUCGCCUUUGGAUGGGCCCGCGUUGGAUUAGCUAGUUGGUAGGGUAAAGGCCUACCAAGGCGACGAUCCAUAGCUGGUCUGAGAGGAUGAUCAGCCACACUGGGACUGAGACACGGCCCAGACUCCUACGGGAGGCAGCAGUGGGGAAUAUUGGACAAUGGGCGAAAGCCUGAUCCAGCAAUGCCGCGUGAGUGAUGAAGGCCUUAGGGUUGUAAAGCUCUUUUACCCGGGAUGAUAAUGACAGUACCGGGAGAAUAAGCUCCGGCUAACUCCGUG